rnacentral:rRNA from 1 species
GUGGGGAAUCUUGCGCAAUGGGCGAAAGCCUGACGCAGCCAUGCCGCGUGAAUGAUGAAGGUCUUAGGAUUGUAAAAUUCUUUCACCGGGGACGAUAAUGACGGUACCCGGAGAAGAAGCUCCGGCUAACUUCGUGCCAGCAGCCGCGGUAAUACGAAGGGGGCUAGCGUUGCUCGGAAUUACUGGGCGUAAAGGGCGCGUAGGCGGACAGCUUAGUCAGAGGUGAAAGCCCAGGGCUCAACCUCGGAAUUGCCUUUGAUACUGGCUGUAUUGAGUCUGGGAGAGGUGAGUGGAACUCCGAGUGUAGGGGUGAAAUUCGUAGAUAUUCGGAAGAACACCAGUGGCGAAGGCGACUCACUGGCCCGUUACUGACGCUGAGGAGCGAAAGCGUGGGGAGCAAACAGGAUUAGAUACCCUGGUAGUCC